GGUCAGAGACCACAGCCACCCAAGUCUCAGGCUCUUUUCUUUUCCUCAAGAUGGAGGCCGAUCCAAUGAUGGAGUAGGUUUGGCCUCUCAGCACAGACAGGCCUUGGGUGGCUGUGGUCUCUGACCUGCAGUGAGGUAGAUGAGGGGCACCAUGAGAAAGUUGCCAUGAGAGAGCAACCCAUGAGGACAUGGAUGGAGAGGAACAACCAGGGCAAGACUAAGAUGCUAGGUUAACAGGACACUUGGCUGGGUAGUAGGGUUAGAAUAGAUCAGAACCCUGCUCAGCUAAAGUGCAAGAGGCUUAUUAAUAAAUGUACCAGGUUGUGGUGGAGGUGGAAAAGGAGGAAGAGGAGGCGGAUGUGGAGGAAGGAGAAUAGGAGGAAGUGGUGGUGGUGGUGGUAGUACUUUCAGACUCUUGACAUGUUGGGGAAAAUGUUCAAUUUUG
rnacentral:lncRNA from 1 species